GAUGAAGAACGCAGCGAAAUGCGAUAAGUAAUGUGAAUUGCAGAAUUCAGUGAAUCAUUGAAUCUUUGAACGCACCUUGCACCCUUUGGACUGCUCCAAAGGGUAUGCUCGUUUGAGUGUCAUUGUACUCUCACACUCUCUGAUCCUUUGGAUUUGGGGAGCAGUGGACUUGGGUGCUUGCUGCUUCCUUGUGGCUCACCUGAAAUGCAUCAGUGCAUCUCUCGAUUGGACAUAGUACGGCGUGAUAAGUGUCUUCGCCGGCACCUCAUAUGAGGGUGGCCGAUCGGGAGCUCUGUGCUUUCAAACCGUCUUCGGACAACGCUGACAACUUGACCUCAAAUCGAGUAGGACUACCCGCUGAACUUAAGCAUAUCAAUAAGCGGAGGA
rnacentral:misc_RNA from 1 species